CCUUCGUGAUGUGUGGAGUGGAUCAUUGGUAUUGGUAAGUGGAGGUUUGGAAAAAAGAAAGUUUAAAAGAGGAAUGUUUUCUUAAAUAAAUGGAAGCCAAGAAUAACGUUCAUGCCAUGCUCUAACUGCCAUUUCAAAGCUCUACAUAAGCUAAAACAAAUAAACCAACCCCGUCUUGUUGACCUAGAUUACUGCUUAAACAAAGUUAUUCCCAAUAUUCCCUUCAUCUAAUGAAGUUCCUCCAAAUUUCAUGAUCCUUGUGACAAUCCACCCCAGACUAUGGUGAGAGACCCAGAGCUGCAGCAGUUUUGGUUGUGGUUAUUCUGACAUUGACCCGAAGGGAGCAAGAAUGUUUCUCAGGAGCCCUUGCCUGGACUCCCCUUCCAGACCACAACUUCCCCGGUGAUAUGGGACCCUGGAGGAGGAAGUCUACAAUGUGGGAGAGAUGAGUUACCAGGAAGAUAACCUUUGCACUCAGAAGGCUUGCGAACCCCAGAGGAGACUGUCUGUCUGAGAGAUCACCUUACCCACACUGUGGAAUAAAAAUAUUGCCUCUGACAUUAGGGAACUGGCAUUCCCCUCCUCCACUGUUUGAAAAGAUACCAGAGGUAGAAUCUUCAUCCUUUGUUCACUGAUGCCACCCAAGCACCUAGACCAGCGAUGGCAAAUUUAAAACAUUUAAAAAUUGAUGCCUUCCAGUUGUUUGCACACAUUUAGAAUUUUACUGCAUAUGUUAUAAGAGGAAGGAUCUAAAAAUAAAUUAUUAUUCUUU
rnacentral:lncRNA from 1 species